AAUGUGCAGGGCAGGGGGUCCUCCAGGAGAGGUUUGGGAAGCACUGAUCUAGGAUUUGUAUAGAUCCAUUUCUCAGCAUUCAUUUUAUUCAUGAGCUAAAGCGUCCAAUAACAAGCAUAAAGAGCAUAAUAUGAGCAUUAUAUGAUUGCAUUGAUUAUGCCACUGAGGUGACAUUUAUCAUAUUAGAUCGGUCAUAUUUGUCAAAAGUGCUUUUCAUUUUAGGAGUAAACGAUAAAAAGAGAUAUAUAAGAGAUAUAAUAGAGUUAACCCCUAAGCUGGAAUAAAUAACAUUCCAUUGUAUGGAAUGUUAAAAACACUGAGACAUUUCAGAAGAAAAAAAAAAGGCAUAUGGAUUUGGAACGAUAUGAAGAUAAAACCAAAGAAUCUCAGAUGAAACUGCAGAAACUGGAGAGACGGGUGUUGGAGGAGCGAUUAUAACCUGUUUUGAAACUUGACUGAUAAGGACAUAUUUACAGCUGACAAGAGAGAAGAUAUAUAAUUUGAAAAUGAGAAUGAUUGCUUUUGUACAUCACCGUAAUGAUUCUACCUGUGUCACCAGAGUUGAUUCAGCACUUAGAUGCAACAUUGACUGUUUUCCAGAAAAGUGAUAAAUAUUAUAUAUACAGAAUUUAAACAUCUUAUUUAUAUCUAUACAGUCUGAUUGUCACGUGUAUGUUUCUGUUUAGUUCCUGUUUGUCCUUAUUUGGUCCUUCCAGUUCCCUUUCCCAUUAUUAGUAAGCAUCUGUCCCUUGUUAUUAGUUAUCCUCAUCACCUGUCUGCCCCUCGUUAUCUGCCCUAUUUGAGUUCUAGUCCGUUCUGUUCUCCCUUGUCUGGAAUUGUUCAUGUCAACCUUGGUAUGUGUGUUUUCAUGGGUCCUUUUGAUUAUUAAAAUUAGUCAAAUUCAA